UUGACCUCAAAUCAGGUAGGAUUACCCGCUGAACUUAAGCAUAUA
rnacentral:rRNA from 1 species